rnacentral:rRNA from 1 species
GGGACACGUGGUAUCCUGUCUGAAUAUGGGGGGACCAUCCUCCAAGGCUAAAUACUCCUGACUGACCGAUAGUGAACCAGUACCGUGAGGGAAAGGCGAAAAGAACCCCGGCGAGGGGAGUGAAAAAGAACCUGAAACCGUGUACGUACAAGCAGUGGGAGCACGCUUAGGCGUGUGACUGCGUACCUUUUGUAUAAUGGGUCAGCGACUUAUAUUCUGUAGCAAGGUUAACCGAAUAGGGGAGCCGAAGGGAAACCGAGUCUUAACUGGGCGUUAAGUUGCAGGGUAUAGACCCGAAACCCGGUGAUCUAGCCAUGGGCAGGUUGAAGGUUGGGUAACACUAACUGGAGGACCGAACCGACUAAUGUUGAAAAAUUAGCGGAUGACUUGUGGCUGGGGGUGAAAGGCCAAUCAAACCGGGAGAUAGCUGGUUCUCCCCGAAAGCUAUUUAGGUAGCGCCUCGUGAAUUCAUCUCCGGGGGUAGAGCACUGUUUCGGCAAGGGGGUCAUCCCGACUUACCAACCCGAUGCAAACUGCGAAUACCGGAGAAUGUUAUCACGGGAGACACACGGCGGGUGCUAACGUCCGUCGUGAAGAGGGAAACAACCCAGACCGCCAGCUAAGGUCCCAAAGUCAUGGUUAAGUGGGAAACGAUGUGGGAAGGCCCAGACAGCCAGGAUGUUGGCUUAGAAGCAGCCAUCAUUUAAAGAAAGCGUAAUAGCUCACUGGUCGAGUCGGCCUGCGCGGAAGAUGUAACGGGGCUAAACCAUGCACCGAAGCUGCGGCAGCGACGCUUAUGCGUUGUUGGGUAGGGGAGCGUUCUGUAAGCCUGUGAAGGUGUGCUGUGAGGCAUGCUGGAGGUAUCAGAAGUGCGAAUGCUGACAUAAGUAACGAUAAAGCGGGUGAAAAGCCCGCUCGCCGGAAGACCAAGGGUUCCUGUCCAACGUUAAUCGGGGCAGGGUGAGUCGACCCCUAAGGCGAGGCCGAAAGGCGUAGUCGAUGGGAAACAGGUUAAUAUUCCUGUACUUGGUGUUACUGCGAAGGGGGGACGGAGAAGGCUAUGUU